ensembl:lncRNA
GCGCGCGGGGGGCAGGGCCACAGCUGGGCGCAGCUGGGCGCGGAAGAAGCGCAUCUCUGCGGGCCGCCCUGCGCCCCGGGCCGGCCCGGCCCGGUCCGCCUCCCCGAGACGCGGGCCGGCACCGCCCACCAUGGGCUCGGCCGCUGGGCCUGCGCAGUGGGCCGGAGUCGUGCGCCGCCGCGCCCAGAAACGGGCCUGUUUUCAGCCCGCACCGCCAAGCGCCUACUGUGUGCAAGGAGCGCGAGCGGAGGGCGCCGGGCCGGGGGCAGGGAGCCCUCGCUUGGAGGACUCUUUGAAUAGUGCUCCCUAGCUGGGGCCGGUUUGCGCUGGGCUGCCUUAUGGAGCCUCACCGCCUGCAGAGAUGACGAGGACCGUGCGUACACCUACUGGGUGCCGGCUUGUGCUGUGCGCCCUGGGGAGGAGAAACGUCGAGCCUGACCCCCAGGAGCUCCUGUUCUCCCCAGGGAGAGGACAGUAAACCGAUGAGAAUGACCCUAAGAGUCACUGUAAGAUUUGGACCCCUCUGGCUGCAGGUGGGCGAUGGCCUCAGGGACUGUGCAGAGGCAGGAGACCAGGGAGGCGGUGACUGCGAUAGUUCCGGUCGGAGAGGAUGGAGGCAGACCAGGGUGACCACGGAGGAAUGUAGACGUGAUGGCAGUGCCAGAGCAGUUACCUUGGACCAUGAGGUGGAAACUGCCGGUUGAAGAUGGAAGAGCAGCUGUAAGAUAGCAAGAAUCUGAGUCCCUGAUACCACGAAGCUGAUGUGGGCUCGGCGAGCUGAGGAGUCAGAAGAAAGAUUUCUUGGAGUCUUAAGGAGACACUUGUUAUUUGAGCCUUUCUUACAGCAUGGAGCCUGCAUCUCGCCAGUGCAUCUCUUAAAUGAACGUAUGGAUGAGUGCAUGAUGGGGAGCCGUGAGGUCCAGCCCUGCACCUGGAAAAAGGCACAAAGACCACACUCAAGCCUGGGUGGAAGCAUCGUCCAAAUGCAGUGGAAAAAUUUAUGGCCAGAGGAACUAGUUCCAAACCUGGCCCUUCUCCUCGCUUGCUGUGUGCCCCUGGAUAACCCACGUGCCCUCUCUGGGCCUGACACUCCUUGGUUGCAAACCAGGCUUAGCAAAUUCAUGGACUCUGUGCAAUUUAAAGAUUUUCAUUGCUCUUUGCAAUUCUAUUUCUAGAAAUCCAUUCCCAGAGAAAUUCUCACCUCACACCCCAUGAACACAGGUACAAGGAUGUAGCUUGGUUUGUGGAGUAAAACCCUGGAAAUAUCCUCAAAGGUGAUUAAUUAAACUGUGGCACAUUCAUGUUCUAGAGUGCUAGAGAGCUGACUGUGGCCGCGAGGAAUUCUCUGGUGACACUUGCUGGCACAGAAUGACACUGCAGCCCAGCUCAGCAAGGCACUGGGAAUUUCCAGAACCAGAGAGGCUCAGGGUAGCUGUGAGGAUGGUCUGGGAAGCCAUAGACCAGGGGGAGGUUUGGGAGGACGGCUGAGGCAAGGUGACUGGCCAGGGUGUGAAGUCGAGAGCAGAGACCCGGGUGUGAACUCUAGCUUCACCACUUCCUAGCCGGCAGAGCUUGGGCAGAUUAGGGACUUUCUCUGACCCUCAGUCUCUUCUUCUAGAGAAUGAGAUGUCUGAUGAGGAUUCAAAGAGAGAAUUCAUUCAUUCAUCAUCUAUUGAACCAACACUGAGCCCCUCUGAUGUCAGUGGUUGGUGAGAGUCUCCAGGCACUGAGGGUGCACCAGGACCCGGUCCUGCCCUCAUGGGGCUCUCAGUCUAGUGGGGGAGACAAUCAACAAGUAAACGGGCAGACAAGGUAAUUUCAGGUACUGAUGACACCGUAAAGGAAAAUAAAGCAGGGGAUGGGUCUGGGGGUGGAGGCACAUUACAGACAGGGGCUCGGGGAGGGCGUCUCGGAGCGGGUGUGAGCAGAGGCCUGAAGGAGCUGCAUCUUGGAGCACAACAUAUAAGACGCCAGUGGACGAGCCUGGCACAUAGCAAAUCUCAAUAAACGCUGGGUCAUUGUCUCAUCACGCGGGAAAGGAAUUAAAGGGAGACUGGAAUCCGUCUCCUGGGGUCUGAGGCAGGCACGAGAGUGAGAAGAUUCCCGGGGCCUGGAGGGGGAGAAGCAGCCCCUGGACCGAGCGGCCCCAGCUCUGGAGACCUUGUGCAAACAAGUGUCUAAGCCUCCAUUUCGUCCUUCGGAAAACAAGGCCAAUAAUGCCCACCCUGUGAUAUUGGGGGUUGUUACGGGCUGAACUGUGUCCCCCCAAAUCCAUGUAUUGAAGUCCUAGCCCCCAGGACCUCCAGUGGGACUGUGUUUGGAGAGAGGUUUUUGAAGAGGUGGUUAAGGUAAAAUGAGGUCAUGAGGGUGGGCCCGAAUACACUAGGACCGGUGUCCCUGUGAGAAGAGGAGAUGAGGUCACGGGCACACACAGAGGGAUGACCUUGUGAAGACACAAGGAGAGGACAACCAUCCACAAGCCAAGGAGAGAGGCCUCAGAGGGAACCAAUGCUGCUGACACUGAUCUUAGACUUCCAGCCUCCAGAACCACAAGACGAUAAACUUCCAUGGUUUAAGCUGCCCGGUCUGUGGUCCUUUCUUAUGGCAGCUGUGCAGGGGAGUACGGGUGACGUAGGACACAGGCACACAGGGCCCUCGAGAGAGGCUGCCCUGGAGCCCGACUCGUGAACCCUCAGCAUCUCUGCGGACUCCAGGCCAGUCUCGAGAUUGCCGCGGUUGCUCUGAAGCUGGGCCCAGUGUGCCUCUGGAUUGCCUA